UAUGAGGCAUAGUGAUUUUUUGUUAAUUUUAAUUUCUUGUUCCCAUUAUAUGAGUUUUUUUGCACUCUACUAUGCGUUGUCAUAAUAAAAAUUCAAAGGAAUAGUGUCUCGCGGUGUAUAACGUCUCUAAUUUGAUAUCACGAGACAGCCGGUGGAGCUAUUUAUUUAUUUAUUUAUUUUCUUGAGGAGUUUGAGAAGGCAGAAAGAGUGAAAGGCCUCAAAAAGGUGAUUAUACGAAAAAUCUUUUGCAGAGCUUGUUGUUGAGAAAUUGGAGGUAUUUAGCAUUAAAAGGUGUUUACGGCACUCACUUGUAGGUUGAUUGUACAAUGUACAUUAUUGCCCAUAUAUAUAAGUGCAUGAUUAGUGUAUUAAUUUACAAUUUACACACUCGCGUCCACGGCAAGGUGGAGCGAUAUUGAGUCUUGUUACAUUAGAAAUCAUUUUACGCCAUUCGCCACGGAGUCAAUAUUGGAUGAAUUAAAAUUGAUUUACAAUGCAGAAAGAAGAAUUAUUGUUAAAUCCCGCGCGAAAUGCAAUUUCCGAACAUUGCAAAAUGAGA